rnacentral:rRNA from 2 species
GAUUUCUGGCUUGAUGUUCCUGGCCCGCCUCGGUUACGAGUGUGAGUGCCGGGUUGCAUCUGCCAUCCUUCCAGAAAACGGCUUUGCCCUUCACUGGGUGGAGUCGCGAUCUGGAUCUAUUACUUUGAAAAAAUUAGAGUGUUUAAAGCAGGCAUUUGCCGUGCAUACAUUAGCAUGGAAUAAUAAUUUAGGACUUUGGUUCUAUUUUGUUGGUUUCUAGGACUGAAGUAAUGAUUGAUAGGGAUAGUUGGGGGUGCUAGUAUUCAGUGGCCAGAGGUGAAAUUCUUGGAUUCACUGAAGACUAACUUAUGCGAAAGCAUU